UACGUAGGGGGCAAGCGUUGUCCGGAAUCAUUGGGCGUAAAGCGCACGUAGGCGGCCCGGUAAGUCCGUUGUGAAAGUCAGAGGCUCAACCUCUGGAGGCCAAUGGAUACUGCCGGGCUAGAGUCCGGAAGAGGCGAGUGGAAUUCCUGGUGUAGCGGUGGAAUGCGCAGAUAUCAGGAGGAACACCAAUAGCGAAGGCAGCUCGCUGGGACGGUACUGACGCUGAGGCGCGAAAGCGUGGGGAGCGAACAGG
rnacentral:rRNA from 1 species